AUGUUCAUCGUAGAAGAUAAGGGCAGUGCCAUUGCUCUCAUGUGCGCCGCCCUCCUCUUCUUGGGCACAUGGCCAGCAUUGCUCACCCUCUUGGAGCGCAGGGGCCGGCUACCACAACACACGUACCUUGAUUACUCGAUCACGAACCUCCUCGCCGCAGUCCUCAUCGCGCUCACCUUGGGCCAGCUUGGGGAGAGCAAGCAAGACAUGCCCAAUUUCUUCACCCAUCUCAGUCAGGAUAACUGGCCUUCGGUGCUGUUUGCAAUGGCAGGGGGCCUUGUGCUCAGUAUUGGGAACCUUUCUACACAAUAUGCUUGGGCAUAUGUGGGUCUCUCAGUUACUGAGGUUAUCUGCGCAAGCAUGGUUGUUGUAAUAGGCACAACACUGAAUUAUUUCCUGGACAACCGCAUCAACAGGGCAGAUAUUCUUUUCACUGGAGUGGCUUGCUUCCUUGUUGCAGUCAUCCUUGGGACUGCUGUACACGCAGCUGAUAAUGAAGAGAAACUAAGUAUACAUGAUGCACUAGAGGUGGACAUAGAGAAUGGAGCUUGUGCAGAAGAGGUCACCAGAGCUGAAGCAGGAACUGCAGAGUACCUGAUUGAGCUCGAAGGCCGGCGUUCGGUUAAGGUGUUUGGAUCGAGCACCCUCAAGGGGCUUGGGCUAGUUUUCUUUGCCGGGGUGUGCCUCUCGCUCUUCUCCCCAGCACUCAACCUCGCCACCAAUGACCAGUGGCACACCCUGAAAGACGGCGUCCCGCAUCUGGUUGUGUACACCGCCUUCUUCUACUUCUUCAUGUCGUGUUUUGUCAUCGGUUCAUCCUUCAAGGCCUAUCUGAGUGACUGGGAAGGCAGGCAGUGGGCUCUCCUCGCCGGCUUGCUUUGUGGCUUCGGCAAUGGCUUCCAGUUCAUGGGUGGUCAGGCUGCUGGUUAUGCUGCUGCUGAUGCUGUUGAGGCAUUGCCACUUGUGAGCACAUUCUGGGGCAUCGUGCUGUUCGGGGAGUACCGCAAGUCGUCGAAGAAAACGUACACUCUCCUCGUGUUGAUGCUGCUCAUGUUCGUCGCGGCUGUAGCAACGCUCAUGGCUUCAGCAGGUCGCAGGGCCACAAAGUGA
rnacentral:rRNA from 1 species